rfam:Triticum urartu cultivar G1812 contig928602, whole genome shotgun sequence.
AAUCUACCCCCUCCGUUUCAAAUUACUCGUCGCAGAAAUGGAUGUAUCUUGAACUAAAAUACAUCUAGAUACAUCCAUUUCUGCGACGAGUAAUUCGGAACGGAGGGAGUAUGUA